CGAUCCCGCACGGGAGAGUCUUGCCGCCGCACGCCCGGGAGACCGGGUCGCGGUGGGAAGCGCCGAAGGGGCAAAUCCUCCCCGGAACCUCUCAGGCGCCCGGACCGUGCGGACCAG
rnacentral:ncRNA from 1 species